AUUAAACUAGAAAAGACAGGGGGACAGACUUUACCGAUGGACAGAAAACGGAUCAUCUAAACAUUAAGAAACUAAGUUUCAAGAUGUGGGUCUUAGGGCAACAGGAUUUUUUUUUUUAUGAUUUUUUUUUUUAUUUAUCUCUUUGCCAGCAGGGAUCAAACCUUUUGCUUGCCACAGUAAGGAUGUGCCAUCUGUAACUGACAACCCUAGCCUCCUUCUGUUUCUGAGAUGGUACCCUGACAGGGCUGCUGAAUUUCUCCUCAGGGUCCAGCAACAUCUGCAGCCCAGUACAUGGUUCCUUCCGUUGUUGUCGUAAAUGACCUCCACCUAUAUGUCCUCAUGCUCCUCUGAGCUCCACGAGGAAACUGACUUUGUCCUAAUGACUUCUAGCACCAGGCGUGAAAAAUGCUCAGCUAAGGAUCUCAGCAGAAUGAGAGAUUAGUUUUCCAUAGAAAACACUCUGGCUCGCUUAUCUCGGCCCGGCUGCCUAUUCUGAAGCAAGAAGAUUCAAAACGGCGUUCUCUGCUUUCACGGGGCUUUCCUUGGGGUUGAAACCACAGGCUACAGCUUGGGAUGAUGCUCACCGGGGAAGGAUCCUGAGAGAUUAAUAAUGCAUCUGAGAAUGUGGGCACAAGCCGGGCCCCGGUUCGUUUGAGGAUGAUGGAGAUUAUCCACAGCCUGCUUUUACAACACUAGAGUUGCAAACAAUUCUAAUUUCUUUGCAUCUUUCCUUAAAAAGGCUUCCCUGAAUGUCCAGAGACUUGUCUUAGUAGCUGGCUUCUAGUGCCAACAUACUAGAAAUUAUGUAUGUUGCUAAGAAAAAAACCUAUGUGUGUGUGUGUGUGUGUGUGUGUGUGUGUGUGUGUGUGUGUAAGAUUGAGUCUGUUCAUUUCUAUCUGUAAAAUGCAUUUAUCUUAGAAGGUUAAAUGUGCAUGCUAACUUUAUAAUAAUUACAAUUUCUCAUAGACUUCAAAACAGCAUUGAUUAUAGGACAAACUUUUAUUUUAGGUGCCACUACGAAAGAAAACUUGGUAUGUGUAUGCGUGGUAUGUGUGUUCACAUGUGUGUGGGUGCAUGCGCCGACGAGUCACAUGUAGAGCCAGAGGUUGGUAACGUUGGGUGUCUUCUUUUCUCCCAGCCCAGCUUAUUGUUUGUUUAUUUAGCUUUUGAGAAGAGAGACUCAAGAAGACUGUAGCUCACUGACUGGUCAGACUGCACUGCCAACAGCUACCCCUUCCUUGCCCCAAAGUACUGAGAUUAUUACAGAACUGAGCCACACUUCGUUCUAAAGGACAGUACCCUGACAGCUCAAGCAAAGGACAGAGAAAGACGGAAGGAGGAAACAAAAGCCAGAGGGAAGCCCAUCUCAGAGCUAUCUUCCUCAUAGGCGGCAACAGGAGGCAGGAAGCAACAGGGAGGAGAAUGGGCUAUCAUGCAUCGGACCCACAAAACAGAGCACCUGAAGUAAUGCCCCCAACCCCCAUCAUACCACCACAGCUUGACUGAAUCUCAGAGACACCGUUGGAAAAGAAAGCAAAACAAAACAAGUGCUGUGUGACUCCGCUUGCAUGAAGCUAAUCUGUGUUGACAGAUAUCAGCAUAGGGAAAACCAAGUUGGGGCAGCGACAACGGGGAGAUGUCAGAAUCUCUACAGCCUGGUCUCCAUCAAGUACCUUGUACCCUCCCCCACCCUUUCUGAAAGGAACUGUCUACUGUACACUUUUCCUUUUCCUUCGUCAUCUUUUCAUAAUGUGGGGUAAUAGGGAGGUGGCCAGGAGGUGUCUUGUAUCUUCUGCUCACAGGUCUAAAGAUAGAGGGGGAAUAUACUUGCUACCAAGUACCCUCAUCUGCACUUGGACCAGAUCUUAUGGGACACUUACUGGUGUGUCAACCUAAUGAGACUUGGAAUAGUUUGCUCCCCAGUGGCAGAACAACAGAGAGGGACAGAGCUGACUUUCUUUCAGUCCUUUGGAGCUCAUGAGAGUCACAGACCCAUCAGCCUAUAUAAUGGAGACUCAGAGAACCAUAUCCUCCCAACAGGAUGAAAGCAAACUACAUUGAUCGCAUUAAACCAUGACUAAAAGCAGCUUGGAGAGAAAAGGGUUAAUCUGAUCUUAUAACUCUCAGGUCAUAUAGUCCAUUACCAAGGGAAGCCAGGGCAGGAACUCAAGGCAGGAACCUGGAGAUAGGAACUGAGUCAGAGGCCAUGAAGGAGCGCUGCUAACUGGCUUGCUCAGCCUGCUUUCUUAUAGAACCUAAGACUUGCCCAGGGAGGGCACCACUCACAGUGGGCUGGGGCCUCCCUCCCACAUCAAUCAAUGCCCACAACAGGAUAAUCUGAUGGAGGCAUUUUCUCUGUUGAGAUUCCCU